UACAGAGGUCUCAAGCGUUAAUCGGAAUUACUGGGCGUAAAGCGUGCGCAGGCGGUUUUGUAAGUCUGUCGUGAAAGCCCCGGGCUCAACCUGGGAAUUGCGAUGGAGACUGCAAGGCUUGAAUCUGGCAGAGGGGGGGUAGAAUUCCACGUGUAGCAGUGAAAUGCGUAGAGAUGUGGAGGAACACCGAUGGCGAAGGCAGCCCCCUGGGUCAAGAUUGACGCUCAUGCACGAAAGCGUGGGGAGCAAACAGG
rnacentral:rRNA from 1 species